UUACUGCUAAGACUGGAUAGGAGAUAAGAAGGCAUCUUUUUAUUUUUAAAGACCUAGCAAUAGGUAUGCUUAGGGAAGAGCUUGCGUCACAUUAGUUAGUUGGUGGGGUAAUGGCCUACCAAGACGAUGAUGUGUAGCCGGGCUGAGAGGUCGAACGGCCACAUUGGGACUGAGACACGGCCCAAACUCCUACGGGAGGCAGCAGUAAGGAAUUUUCGGCAAUGGAGGAAACUCUGACCGAGCAAUGCCGCGUGAACGAUGAAGUAUUUCGGUACGUAAAGUUCUUUUAUUAGGGAAGAAAAGAUGGUGGAAAAACCAUUAUGACGGUACCUAAUGAAUAAGCCCCGGCUAACUAUGUGCCAGCAGCCGCGGUAAUACAUAGGGGGCAAGCGUUAUCCGGAAUUAUUGGGCGUAAAGGGUGCGUAGGCGGUUAAAUAAGUUUAUGGUCUAAGUGCAACGCUCAACGUUGUGAUGCUAUAAAAACUGUUUAGCUAGAGUUGGAUAGAGGCAAGUGGAAUUCCGUGUGUAGUGGUAAAAUGCGUAAAUAUACGGAGGAACACCAGAAGCGAAGGCGGCUUGCUGGGUCUUAACUGACGCUGAGGCACGAAAGCGUGGGGAGCAAACAGGAUUAGAUACCCUGGUAGUCCACGCCCUAAACGAUGAGUACUAAACGUUGGAUAAAACCAGUGUUGAAGUUAACACAUUAAGUACUCCGCCUGAGUAGUACGUACGCAAGUAUGAAACUUAAAGGAAUUGACGGGACUCCGCACAAGCGGUGGAUCAUGUUGUUUAAUUCGAAGGUACCCGAAAAACCUCACCAGGUCUUGACAUGCUUUUGCAAAGCUGUAGAAAUACAGUGGAGGUUAUCAGAAGCACAGGUGGUGCAUGGUUGUCGUCAGCUCGUGUCGUGAGAUGUUGGGUUAAGUCCCGCAACGAGCGCAACCCUUGUUGUUAAUUGCCAUCAUUAAGUUGGGGACUUUAGCAAGACUGCCAAUGAUAAAUUGGAGGAAGGUGGGGACGACGUCAAAUCAUCAUGCCCCUUAUGACCUGGGCUACAAACGUGAUACAAUGGCUGUUACAAAGGGUAGCUAAAGCGUAAGCUUCUGGCGAAUCUCAAAAAAGCAGUCUCAGUUCGGAUUGAAGUCUGCAACUCGACUUCAUGAAGUUGGAAUCGCUAGUAAUCGCGAAUCAGCAUGUCGCGGUGAAUACGUUCUCGACUAA
rnacentral:rRNA from 1 species